ACGGAAGGCAGCAGUGAGGAAUAUUGGUCAAUGGACGCAAGUCUGAACCAGCCAUGCCGCGUGCAGGAAUAAGGCCCUAUGGGUCGUAAACUGCUUUUGUGGUGGAGCAAUAAGUCGUACGUGUACGGCGAUGAGAGUACAUCACGAAUAAGCAUCGGCUAACUCCGUGCCAGCAGCCGCGGUAAUACGGAGGAUGCAAGCGUUAUCCGGAUUUAUUGGGUUUAAAGGGUGCGUAGGCUGUGGUCCAAGUCAGGGGUGAAAGCCCGGAGCUCAACUCCGGAACUGCCUUUGAUACUGGAUUGCUGGAGUACGGAUGCCGUGGGAGGAAUGAGUAGUGUAGCGGUGAAAUGCAUAGAUAUUACUCAGAACACCGAUUGCGAAGGCAUCUCACGAAUCCGUCAUUGACGCUGAGGCACGAAAGCGUGGGGAUCAAACAGGAUUAGAUACCCUGGUA
rnacentral:rRNA from 1 species